GAUAAACGCUGGCGGCGCACAUAAGACAUGCAAGUCGAACGGACUUAACCGAAUGUUUACAUUUGGAGCGGUUAGUAGGCGGACUGGUGAGUAACGCGUGGGCAACCUGCCUAUUAGAGGGGAAUAACAGUGAGAAAUCACUGCUAAUACCGCAUAAGCUGUGAGUAUCGCAUGAUACAAAUAGAAAAGGAGCAAUCCGCUGAUAGAUGAGCUUGCGUCUGAUUAGUUAGUUGGUGAGGUAACGGCCCACCAAGACGAUGAUCAGUAGCCGGACUGAGAGGUUGAACGGCCACAUUGGGACUGAGAUACGGCCCAG
rnacentral:rRNA from 1 species